CAUCCUUAUCUUAUCCGAGUCAAAGGGAGUUCCGAGAUCGCCGCCACUUACUAACCAACUAUGAGAGAGAAUAUCAAAAUGAGUAAUCAAUAGAGUAACUAUAAAAGCGUAAAGAAAAAAAGGAAGAAAGACACGCCCUGAGGCCUAGACAUAUCACCAUCCACUUCGACCUUACUCUCACUAUCUUUAGCUUAUAGUUUCUAGCUUAGUUGAUCUUGUUUUGUUAUACCUUGUAAACAUUUUUUGUGUUAAACUUCAAUAUAUAAAAGUCCCUUUCGUCAACUUGAGUCUGAUUACAUCUUUUGUGUUAUGAGGAUAUCGUUAUCAACAUAGUUCUUCUUCCCUAAUCUAUUACAUA
rnacentral:lncRNA from 1 species